AGAAGGGCACAGCCUGAGUGGAUGUCUCAGGCAGGCAGGAGGAGGGGCAGCCAGGAGGGGCUGGGUGCCAGACAGUGUCCCUGUGCUUGCUGCCUGCUCCUAAGGCUGGCACGGUAACAGUGUGCCUUUCCUGGGGAAAAGGAAAGCCUGCCCACAUUCUAAGGCAUGGAGAGGAGGCCACCAGCACCAGCAAACCCCCAGCUCCUCUGCAGAGAGAACGAUGACAGCAGCCAAAGCCUGGAAACAGGAGUGGAAGCACGUUUUUGUGCUUGUGAGGAAGUUGUAUGUGGCAGUGAGAACAUAAGGAGCAGGUCUGCUGGGGGACAUCGACUGACUCGCUGUCUGCGACACGGCAAGUGGAACAGGGUUAACCAUCAGUCCCCUGCAGAGAUCGUGGGGAGAAGGCGGGUGUACAAAGGGAGCAGCUCGAAGCAGCUACAGAUGGCACCAAGAGAACACUCUGGCAGAGCUGUUUUGCAGAAGCAAAGGCAGCCCCACUAACUGCAUGAAAUGGGUGAACUACAGGGAUUCGGUUGCUCUCCAGCAUCAGAGUGGACUUUGAGGCCAACCUACACUUAAUUCUUAACAAAAACAAUGUUAAUGUACCUCUGGGGAAGCUGCCAAUGCCAGUGACGUAUCUGUAAACAGAACUUUUCAUAUCUUGUUUUUUGAACUAUUGUAUCAAUCCUUUGGAUGUAUAUACAGAAUUGUUUCAGAUUCUAACAUCAGGCUUUUAGCUUCAAACUGGUUUUCUGUGGUGCUUCUCAAACCUGAAAUGUCUCCCUCCAGCAAGCCAACCCUUAGCAUGACACAAUGACUGCUAUCAAACACAAAUAGAGAAAUAAAUAUCAAAUAAAUUAGUUUAGAGUACACAAACAUGCCUGCAUGCCAUCCAGUGUAUUUGAACAAAGAUGUAUUAUUAUAUAAGUUCAUGAAAAUCAUAUUUAAAUGCAGUGUCUUUAUGACUGAAAAUUAUAGUUCAUGUAAGUUAAAUCAGACAUAAAGAAAGUAUAAUAAACAAAUCUCAACCUCUAUUUUUGCCCUUCCUCAGUCAUGAGCAGUGCUCCCAGUUCCUUCUACACCCCUUCACUGGCAAUAAAAUGGACCUUGCUGCCAACAUUUGAUCAUUACCUAUAAGCUCACCGUGUACAAGUCCAUUAAAAAGUGAAGAAAUGCAUGGAAUGACUCCUAUGAGAUCAUUUACUUGCAGAGAAGGGCAAUUAGUGGAUUGCAAGUCAUGACUGGCAUUCUUGGGAGGCACAAAAUCAGAUGGGUAGGAAUGAAAGUGGUAAGAGAUUUCUCCUGCUCCAGAACACUUGAAAGACUGGAUUUCAUCACUGCUGCCCUCCCUACUUAACACUGACAGUCCCUGUUCCCAGCCCUGGUCACUGCUUUACAAUACUCUGACAUGGAUACUCUCAUUUGCUAACUGUACUUAAUGAUGAAAAGAUUGAUUAGGAAAAUGUUUGUCAGGUAAUCAGUCAUUUUUACUAUGCACUCAUCGAUGUUCAUGGACCUUUCCAGGCUAUUAUACACUUCAAAGAAGCUCAUGAUUAUCUCCUCAGGAGCUGGUGAAAAAGCAUGAGAUUAUUCUUUACAUUAUUCAUUCAAGUGGAGUUAACUCAUUUCUAUAACAUUUUGUAAACUGUUUGUCCCAAAAGCAAGAAUACACUUUUACUUUUCUAAUGCAUGCCUGCAAAUGGAAAUUACCUCUGCUGUGCAAUUGUCUACAGGUCUGUCUAGAUGAGUGAUUUAUGGCAGUCCAGACUCAAUUCCAUCAGUGCAAAGUGCACUGUGUCCACAGAAUUUAACUCCUGGUGUUUAUAUUAAAAAAUGGAGAGUAGAAUCAAGCAUAAUUAAACUGAAGGGCAAGUUACAUCCUUAUUGGAUCUGCUUGCACAUUUGUCUGGGCACUUCUGGGUCUGCAAAACAGCUUCUCAAGCCACUUACCUUAACCAGCCCUUCAGCCAACCUGUCCAGCC